AAAGUCGUAACAAGGUUUCCGUAGGUGAACCUGCGGAAGGAUCAUUACAGAGUUCAUGCCCUUACGGGUAGAUCUCCCACCCUUUGAGUACUAUACUUUUGUUGCUUUGGCAGGCCGCUUCGGCUACCGGCUUCGGCUGGUGAGUGCCUGCCAGAGGACCCCAAAUUCUGAAUUAUAGUGUCGUCUGAGAACUAUAUAAUAGUUAAAACUUUCAACAACGGAUCUCUUGGUUCUG
rnacentral:misc_RNA from 1 species